rnacentral:lncRNA from 1 species
AGAACUCUGAUCCUGGCCCUUCAGAGCUGCCUGGCUGAGGUGUUGGUGGAAAGGCCUUGUCACGGUUGCACGAGGGGGACGAUGACCUUGGCCUGCGGGUCCCCCCUCCGAGGAUGUAGGAUCCUCUGCAUCCUGAUCGUGGUCGGACCGAGCCUCCUGGCGAUGGCUGAGGUGCCUGAGAAAAUGCCUUCUUGUUGCGGUUGCACGCUUUGCACGGAAUCUGCGAGGGGGGCGCUGGCCUUUGCCCUUGGGUCCCCCCUCCGAGGACGCAGCAUCCUCUGAAUCCCGGUUCUGGCUGGGCGAGGUCGCCGGGUUUUGGUGGAGGUGCCGGAGAAAUGAUUCUCCUCUCAAUUUCCUCCCGAACUGUGGACGUACGUCUCUAGGACUGGCUGUGGAGUCAGGUAGCUUAAAUCGUGUUUCUUGGGUCUUUUUAGGCAUGAAAUUCCCAUUGGCUGUCUCUCAGGUAAAGAAGCUAAAAGCAGAGAAAGAAGUGACCAUCUCCAGGUGGUACAGAAGUCAGAGCAUCCUUCCGUGUGAUUGAAGCGCCCACUGGAGGCCACAGCGGGAACAGACACCAGAAAUUUUUUGGUGAGCUAGCUAGAGGGACACAACAUAAUCUUUUAAAAGCAUAGAUGGGAUGAUGUCACCCUUAUACUUUAAGUAUUCAGUGACGUCUCUUGGCGGUGGAACAGAAUUCAAACUCCUCACCAUGGCAUGAGUCACCACUCUCUUGACUCACUCCAAACACCCUCCUUGCCCUCAACCCAAGCUGCAAACUUCCACCCCCAGGGUUUCCCGUUCCUGGGCUCCCAAGUAUCAGUCCUGUCUGGACUUUUUACUUGCCUUGAUCCUUCGGACCACCUUUCAGGACUCUAUGCACUUCUUCCAUACACUGGAUCAUGGCCUUUAUUCCCAUCACCCUUGGCAUGAGCAGAGAUUGUCUUGCUCAUGGAUUGGUUUAUUACAUCAAACCUCCUGAAUUGGGAGUGCCACCAGAGUGGGGACUACAUGGACCUCACAUGCCCAGUGCCCAGCACAAACUUGGGAACUGUGUGGAUUGGAAUGAUGUAGGGGGUGGGAGCGCGGAGCCCCAAGAGACCACAGUGGCUGUAGUAAUGAUAGUCCCUAGCACGCAGAGCCUUGGGACAGUGGGAGGAAUAACCCAGAGAACUAGAAACGAGCAGAAGAUGCUUAGAUAUGCUGGCUUAAGAAGGUCUAUUCAUCUUUACAAUUAUACAUAUACACGUCUGGGCACAUAUGUGUGUGGAUGCCAGUGGCACCCAGAAGUGUCCUCUGGUGCCAGAGUUGUGGGUGGUGGUCACUUAAUUCGACCUCUGACUGAACUCUGGCCCUCUGAAAUAGCUGCUGAGACAUCUCUCCAGGUCCAUAUGUCUUUUUUCUUCAUGUUUGUGUUCCUCUGUGUAGAUCAGGCUGACCUUGAGCUCACAGAAAUCCCCCUGCCUCCAAAUCCUGAAUGCCGGGAUUAAAGGGAUCCAUUACC